UGAGCAAUCUGCCCUUCACAUCGGAAUAACCAUUGGAAACGAUGGCUAAUACCGAAUAUGACUUCGGAUCGCAUGAUCUGAAGUGGAAAGCUCCGGCGGUGAAGGAUGAGCUCGCGACCUAUCAGCUUGUUGGUGAGGUAAUAGCUCACCAAGGCGAUGACGGGUAGCCGGCCUGAGAGGGUGACCGGCCACACUGGGACUGAGACACGGCA
rnacentral:rRNA from 1 species